GACGAACGCUGGCGGCGUGCUUAACACAUGCAAGUCGAACGGAAAGGCCCUGCUUGCCGGGUGCUCGAGUGGCGAACGGGUGAGUAACACGUGGGUGAUCUGCCCCUUAUUUUGGGAUAAGCCUGGUAAACUGGGUCUAAUACUGGAUAGGACCAUGCUGUAGGUGGUGUGGUGGAAAGAUUAGUUUCGGUAAGGGGUGAGCUCGCGGCCUAUCAGCUCGUUGGUGGGGUAAUGGCCUACCAAGGCGUCGACGGGUAGCCGGCCUGAGAGGGUGGACGGCCAGAUUGGGACUGAGAUACGGGCCAGACUCCUACGAGAGGCAGCAGUGGGGAAGAUUGCACAAUGGGCGCAAGCCUGAUGCAGCGACGCCGCGUGGGGGAUGACGGCCUUCGGGUUGUAAACUCCUUUCAGCCAUGACGAAGCCCUUGUGGUGACGGUAGUGGUAGAAGAAGCACCGGCUAACUACGUG
rnacentral:rRNA from 1 species